rnacentral:rRNA from 1 species
GUGAGGAAUUUUGCGCAAUGGGCGAAAGCCUGACGCAGCAACGCCGCGUGGACGAUGAAGGUCUUCGGAUCGUAAAGUCCUGUCGAGUGGGAAGAAAAAUGCGGGGGCUAAUACCUCCCGCAUUCGACUGUACCACCAGAGGAAGCCCCGGCUAACUCCGUGCCAGCAGCCGCGGUAAUACGGAGGGGGCCAGCGUUGUUCGGAAUUAUUGGGCGUAAAGGGCGCGUAGGCGGCCGAGUCAGUCUGGCGUGAAAUCCCCCGGCCCAACCGGGGAACUGCGCUUGAUACUGCUUGGCUCGAGUCCGGGAGAGGGUAGCGGAAUUCCCAGUGUAGCGGUGAAAUGCGUAGAUAUUGGGAGGAACACCGGUGGCGAAGGCGGCUACCUGGACCGGUACUGACGCUGAGGCGCGAAAGCUAGGGGAGCAAACAGGAUUAGAAACCCCAGUAGUCC